rnacentral:rRNA from 1 species
GGAGGGAUCAUUACCGAGUUUACAACUCCCAAACCCAAUGUGAACGUUACCAAACUGUUGCCUCGGCGGGAUCUCUGCCCCGGGUGCGUCGCAGCCCCGGACCAAGGCGCCCGCCGGAGGACCAACCAAAACUCUUAUUGUAUACCCCCUCGCGGGUUUUUUAUAAUCUGAGCCUUCUCGGCGCCUCUCGUAGGCGUUUCGAAAAUGAAUCAAAACUUUCAACAACGGAUCUCUUGGUUCUGGCAUCGAUGAAGAACGCAGCGAAAUGCGAUAAGUAAUGUGAAUUGCAGAAUUCAGUGAAUCAUCGAAUCUUUGAACGCACAUUGCGCCCGCCAGUAUUCUGGCGGGCAUGCCUGUCCGAGCGUCAUUUCAACCCUCGAACCCCUCCGGGGGGUCGGCGUUGGGGAUCGGCCUCCUCUCACGGGGGCCGUCUCCGAAAUACAGUGGCGGUCUCGCCGCAGCCUCUCCUGCGCAGUAGUUUGCACACUCGCAUCGGGAGCGCGGCGCGUCCACAGCCGUUAAACACCCCAAACUUCUGAAAUGUUGACCUCGGAUCAGGUAGGAAUACCCGCUGAACUUAAGCAUU